ACAUGGCUACAACAUAGUGUUUAUGCAUCGGAUUCCAUUAGAAAUCCGUAGUUAAGCAUGCUCUUGCUAGAGUAGUACUGGGAUGGGUGACCGCCCAGGAAUUCCUAGUGUUUUACAUGCC
rnacentral:rRNA from 1 species